rnacentral:rRNA from 1 species
AUCCGAGUGGUUUGUGCUAAACGAACCUUUUGUCGGUCCUAGAAACACCGAUGAAUAAGGGGUGGGCAAGUUCUGGUGUCAGCCGCCGCGGUAAAACCAGCACCUCAAGUGGUCAGGAUGAUUAUUGGGCCUAAAGCAUCCGUAGCCGGCUCUGUAAGUUUUCGGUUAAAUCUGUACGCUCAACGUACAGGCUGCCGGGAAUACUGCAGAGCUAGGGAGUGGGAGAGGUAGACGGUACUCGGUAGGAAGGGGUAAAAUCCUUUGAUCUAUUGAUGACCACCUGUGGCGAAGGCGGUCUACCAGAACACGUCCGACGGUGAGGGAUGAAAGCUGGGGGAGCAAACCGGAUUAGAUACCCGGGUAGUCCCAGCUGUAAACUAUGCAAACUCAGUGAUGCAUUGGCUUGUGGCCAAUGCAGUGCUGCAGGGAAGCCGUUAAGUUUGCCGCCUGGGAAGUACGUACGCAAGUAUGAAACUUAAAGGAAUUGGC